rnacentral:ncRNA from 1 species
UUUGAAGCUGCAACGAAGUGCCGCGCGCACGGGCUUCCAUU